CAAAAGGAGAAAACGGCAUUCCUCACAUGUGCGGGCUUCAACAGAUACAGGUCUGAUUGGAGACUGGAGCAUGUAAGAGGACUGUCAUCAGUGGUCCAGAAUCUCUUGGCUACUCCCAACUGGCAGCUUGACCUCCUACUGUAUUGGAAAAAAGAGUGCAGAAACCUAUUUUGAUGCUUCUUCCAGCAACCUAUGAACUUAACACCAGGUUUAAACAAAAAGGAAUGCAAACCAGCUUGACAAUUAGCAAGGCUGCUCUGAUACAACAAAUAUGUUGCAAGCCUGAAGACAGUGCCAGCCAGUGAGGAAGAAGAGAACCUGCCUAUGGAGCCGCAAGAGCAAGCUACAACCCACCAGUCUCCUUAUUAGACACCUAGGAGUUGUCUUCUCUGUCCUUACAGCAGGAACUUUUGAUGAGAAACUGGUCAGACAUUCGAGAGUGGCGGAAAGCCUGUCAAGGUCACUGCCAAGGACAAGGGAGUCAAUUAGUAUGCAGAUCAGAGCCAAGGAGUUCAAAGGUAUUGUUCCAAUUCAAUCACAUUAGCCAGGCCAGUAAUGAACAAACGGCAUGACCUUAAUCAGGGAGCCCGAACCACUCACUGGCGGAAAGCAUGUGUGCCUGUGUAUGAUGGCAGAUUAAAUCCACGGCAGGAAACAGUGAUAAUGCCCAGUGUAGAGCCCUGUGAGCUACGACAGCUAAGUUUCCCAUGUGCUUUUUCUUUCAAUUAUCUGAAAACACCCUGUUAAUUUUUAAUGUAUUUGUACCCUCAUUCUGUUACCAAAAUUGCUACCUUUCCCCUCUUCUUACUUCAGAAAUAGAUUUCACUAAACCUGGCUGCUGUAAACUCAUUAUACAAUUCUAUCAUUUAUUCUGUCCAUUAGAGUAACCAGUGUUAGUGCUUUUCCCCCCACUUGAGUCUGUCAAGUACUGUUAUUUAUGCUCAAUGGUAUUAAUAUCUCUGGCUGUAUUACGGCUGUGCACUCAAAAUUGCUAAAUACAAUCUAAACUUGGCAAUAGCGACUGCAUCAGCUAUCAAUAAUCAAAAAGUAUCAUGCAACUUGUAAGUAUUAGUAAGAGCCAAUAAUUGCAUAAAUAUGAUUAACCUCUUCUGUUUACCAUAAGGAAUCACUAGUAAUGCUGAUGGUUUAAAAAUAUCCCCUUUCUCAGAAUCAGAUAGUGUGCCUGUAUUACGAACAAGAGAAUUAGAGAUUUGACAGUAUGUUUUGAAUGUUUCUUAUUUUCAGCUACCCUUAGCAAUGACUCUGCUGUAACGUGAGUAUAUAAUGUUAUCCAUAGUCUUCAGAGAAAAAAGAGCUUAAAAGUUGAUUUUUCUUUCAUUGUUUGCUUCUGUGGGUUAAUUGUGCCAACAAAAGGAUAUUCUGCUUUUCGGUAACAAGGAAAUUUGUUAGGUAAUUUGUGACCACAGAAUUGGAGCAAUACAGCUAAACUAAUAUAUAUGCAAUGGCUUCAUUAUGCAUAAGAGGAGGCACUCUUUGCUUUGCAGCCCAAAA
rnacentral:lncRNA from 1 species